rnacentral:rRNA from 1 species
UACAGAGGGUGCAAGCGUUAAUCGGAUUUAUUGGGCGUAAAGGGCGCGUAGGCCGCAAUGUAAGUCAGAUGUGAAAUCCCAGGGCUCAACCCUGGAACCGCAUUAGAAACUGCAUUGCUAGAGGGUAGGCGGAGAAAACGGAAUUCCACAAGUAGCGGUGAAAUGCGUAGAUAUGUGGAAGAACACCGGUGGCGAAGGCGGUUUUCUAGCUUACUCCUGACGCUGAGGCGCGAAAGCAAGGGGAUCAAACAGG